CAUUUUCAAAACAUAACACCCUAACAAUGAUUGAAACUUUUUUAAAGUGAAUUUCUAGUGAUUCGGAAGACA
rnacentral:sRNA from 1 species